rnacentral:rRNA from 1 species
UACGUAGGGUGCGAGCGUUGUCCGGAAUUAUUGGGCGUAAAGCGUCCGCAGGUGGCAAUGUAAGUCUGCUGUCAAAGCGUCUGGCUCAACCAGAUAAAGGCAGUGGAAACUACAUAGCUAGAGUAAGGUAGGGGUAGAGGGAAUUCCUGGUGUAGCGGUGAAAUGCGUAGAGAUCAGGAAGAACACCGGUGGCGAAAGCGCUCUGCUGGACCUUAACUGACACUGAGGGACGAAAGCUAGGGGAGCGAAUGGG